UACGUAGGGACCAAGCGUUGUCCGGAAUCAUUGGGCGUAAAGAGCGUGUAGGCGGCUUGUUAAGUCUUGCGUGAAAUCUCGGGGCUCAACCCCGAGCGGUCGUGAGAAACUGGCAGGCUAGAGUGCGGGAGAGGAGAGUGGAAUUCCCGGUGUAGUGGUGAAAUGCGUAGAUAUCGGGAGGAACACCAGUGGCGAAGGCGGCUUCCUGGCCCGUUCUUGACGCUGAGGCGCGAAAGCUAGGGGAGCAAACGGGG
rnacentral:rRNA from 1 species